GGCGGCGAUGCCGGACGGAUCCCCCUCCGUUCGCCUCUCCUCCUCCGAGCAUCGCGGGGUCGUCCCCUCCGGGAGAUGUGAGUGCGGAUGAUGGUGGCGGGGUGAUGCGGCGGCUGGGAGGCGGCCCGCUGAGGUUUUGGUAACUGCCAUCGCUGAUGGGUGGGUGGAUGCGAUGGCUGUUGGAGUGUCCUUUGUACCUGGAAGAGAGAAGGCACAAUCAGCCUGACCAUGUGUGGGUUUGAGACUUCUCACCUUCGGCCAAGGAAGGAGGAUUCAUCUUGGGAUGCCUUCUGUCUGCUGGGAUCUCACACCUGGAGCCCUCUUGGACUGCUGUGGGUUUUGGAUGCGCCCUUCUGUCUAUAGCUGGGAAUGUGUGCUGCUGCCAGGUGCCCACAGACACCUGCUCCUCUAAACCUGCUGGAUUAUUUCUUUUGGCAUCACUCAGCCAGCCCGGCAGCUUUUCUCCAUCUUAUGGAACUGCCUUUGGUGCUUGAGAUCAUCCAACUUACAGAUGUAGAAAGCUGCAGUUGCAGCCCAGCGCUGCAGACACCUCUCCUUUUUGGGCUAUUAUUUCUCAGCAUUGCAGAGCUUUGCAAGAAGACCCCAUCCAUGCAUACGUGUGGGAAUGUCCUGCUGGUCCUGGGGCCAACAGUGGAGGCUCAAGGUGCACCUGAGAGGAGAGCUGAGGCGCUGCAGCAGGAACAGCCACCAGCACAUCGCUGCGGAUGGGAGGGAGGAAGGGCAGAGGCAGCACAGUGCCCAGCACCCUCAGGGAUUGGGGUGCACCCGGGGUCAUCCUGUGCUCCUUCCCCCAGCGCUGACAUGGGAACGGCCCCAGUGCAGCCACCCACCGCCGCUCACUGUGAUCCAGGGUCCUGAGCUGACCUCGCUCUGCUGCACCCACGCAGGGCAGGGAUGGCUGAAUUACUGCUCCCUGCUGCGCUCUGUACAUCCUCCUCCUGGCCGGGUGGCCUCAGGAUCUGUGGGGCUGGAUGGCUGCGUGCUCUCAGGUCAAACAGUAGCUCCAUUUUUUCCCUUGUGAAGGACCAAGAGCUUGCCUGGUUCCAAGGAAGUAGCUGUGGAUUUUAAUUUAAUUUUAUUUUUUCCCUCCUCCGUUCUUCUUUCUGAAUCUUUUUGGGAUUUUGGGCUCUUAAUGAGGAUGCUUGGACCAGCACAGGGUGCAGCCCCAUGCAGAGGGGUGAACGCCUCUGGAGAAGCAAUGGGAGCAGCACACCAAGAGCUGGCAACCGCAGUGCCUUGGGUCUGAAACUGGGAGCUGUGUCCCUUCACAUCGCAUGGCUGCAUCCUCCCCAGCACAUCCCAUAGGGAUUAGGUGGGAUUCUGGGGGGCGCAAGGCCAAACCGCAGUGAGGGGAACGUCAAGAAAGGGAAAAAUGUCACCCUCAGAAACAAUUAAACUGCUUAAUAAAAUCCGUUGCCUCUCGGAGUGCUCGCUGUUCUUUUCCGUUUGCCUUGGCUCAGCCACACUUACAUCAUGGCCCUAUCGCGGUGCUGCCGAGUGGACGGGUUUGAUUGCACAGGAAACCGGCGCUUUGGCAAACUUCUCUGCCCCGGUAAAGCCAGGCCAAGAGCUUAAUGCCUUUGCUUUGCAGAAAAAAAUCUUCCCUGUCCUUUCCCUCUUUCCUUUCUGCAACCCCUUAACCAUCACCCGCCAACUAGGCGGCCACCCCUCGCAUGCCUCCUGCUCCAAAGCGCCUGAGAUGCAGAUUAAUUCCCCUUAAAUCAUGUUGUUUCACGUCCGUGGACCGUGUGUCCCCUCCCACCCUGUAGAGCUGAAGCACUGGAAGGUGCUGUGUGGAAAUGCAACGUAAAAAAAGGAUAUUUAUGUAAUGGAAAUGUCCUUUGAUUUUUUUUUUUUUUAAGAGUUAUGCCUUCAUUCCAAAAAAACUAAGGAUGUUCUUUCAUCUAAAAAGCACCGUAGCCUUGGGCACGUGUAUGAAUGUGUUGGGUGUUCAGCUGUGGUGAGUGAGUGACUUGUGGUCUUGAUAUUGAGCUGGUGGUGUGACUGCUGUGCUCCACUGGGACAGCAGGACCUUGGUCAGGAACGUGGAGUCCUGGGCCCUUUCCUUUGGAACCAUUGCUAGAGUGUUUUAAGAACCAUGUACUGCCCUUGGGAAAACUAUGGCAGAACAACAAAGCCCAGAAACAUGUGGACAUCGCUUGGUGUUUGGUUUGGUGACGAUGGGUAAAUGGUGAUGUCAAAUCCAUUGUCACUGAUUAAGUGUCCUUGGAGGCAGAAGCCAAGGUGAUGCUCAGCCCUUUGCCAGUGCUCGUGUUUGAGGUGGGACUGAUGCUCUUUUCUCCUCCUGGUGGAGUGGAGCCAUGCCUCAUGGAGCAGUGAGCAGGUACUCGGGCAAAUGACAGCAUUCCCAUCCAUGAGCCAAACCUGAUGGCACACCGGGGACACCGUUCUUCCUUGGCCAAGAAGAACUGCACCGUGGCAUGGCCAACAUGUGUCCACAUUCCUCUGCAGUAGGAUGCAAACCACUGGCACUGCUGCUGGAGGACAUCUGCUUUUGGGAUCCUUUCUCACAGCUCUUCCCUGCCAAAGCUGCCCCUAUUAGCCCAAGACUGAAUGGGUGCUGCCUUCCUCCCGCCCUGCUCUGGGGAUGGAUGGCAGCUCCCAGACACGGACCCUUCCGAGUUCAUAACUAAUAUUGACUUCAAAGGCUGUUUGCCUUCAGUGUCGGUCAGUUGUGUAAUCCUGGCUUGUUUAGAGAUGGCGAGCAAACAGAGAGCCAGGCCGUUAAAAGGGGAAGGGCGUGGGAGAUGUAUUGCUAUUUUCCUGUGGAACCGGGAGGAAAACUUGCCUGUCAUUCUCGCUAAUAAAUACAAACUGGAAGCAUG
rnacentral:lncRNA from 1 species